AUACGUAGGGUGCAAGCGUUAAUCGGAAUUACUGGGCGUAAAGCGUGCGCAGGCGGUUUUUUAAGCCAGUGGUGAAAUCCCCGGGCUCAACCUGGGAACUGCCAUUGUGACUGCAAGGCUGGAGUGCGGCAGAGGGGGAUGGAAUUCCGCGUGUAGCAGUGAAAUGCGUAGAUAUGCGGAGGAACACCGAUGGCGAAGGCGAUCCCCGUGGCCUGCACGGACGCUCGUGCACAAAAGCGGGGGGAGCAAACAGGAUUAGAGACCCUGGUAGUGCACGCCCUAAACGAUGUCAACUGGUUUUUGGGGAUUUAUUUUCUCAGUAACGAAGCUAACGCGUGAAGUUGACCGCCUGGGGAGUACGGCCGCAAGGUUAAAACUUAAAGGAAUUGACGGGG
rnacentral:rRNA from 1 species